rnacentral:rRNA from 1 species
UACAGAGGGUGCAAGCGUUAAUCGGAAUUACUGGGCGUAAAGCGUGCGCAGGCGGUUCGCUAAGACCGAUGUGAAAUCCCCGGGCUUAACCUGGGAACUGCAUUGGUGACUGGCGAGCUAGAGUGUGGCAGAGGGGGGUAGAAUUCCACGUGUAGCAGUGAAAUGCGUAGAGAUGUGGAGGAAUACCGAUGGCGAAGGCAGCCCCCUGGGCCAAUACUGACGCUCAUGCACGAAAGCGUGGGGAGCAAACAGG